rnacentral:rRNA from 1 species
AAAGGGGCUUCGGCCCUGAGUAAAGUGGCGCACGGGUGAGUAACACGUAGGUAACCUGCCUCUAAGAUCGGGAUAACAUGUCAAAAGACGUGCUAAUACCGGAUAAGACCACAGCUUCUUUGGAAGCAGGGGUCAAAGAUAGCCUCUACUUGUAAGCUAUCACUUAGAGAUGGGCCUGCGUACCAUUAGCUAGUUGGUAGGGUAACGGCCUACCAAGGCUAAGAUGGUUAGCUGGUCUGAGAGGAUGAUCAGCCACACUGGAACUGAGACACGGUCCAGACUCCUACGGGAGGCAGCAGUGGGGAAUAUUGCGCAAUGGGCGAAAGCCUGACGCAGCAACGCCGCGUGAGUGAUGAAGGCCUUCGGG